GGUAAAGUGGCUGAAUAUAAGCGGUAAAUUGUAAAUUUAUAGAUGAACUUAGGUUCCUUUAUCA
rnacentral:tRNA from 1 species